GUAGUUGUGGCUGAGUGGUUAAGGCAAUGGACUAGAAAUCCAUUGGGGUUUUCCCUGUGUAAGUUUGAAUCCUGCCGACUACG